rnacentral:rRNA from 1 species
GUCUACGGCCAUGCCACCCUGAACAAGCCAGAUCCCGUCUGAUCUCGGAAGCUAAGCAGGGUCGGGCCUGGUUAGUAUUUGCAUGGGAGACCACCUAGGAAGACCAGGUGCUGUAGGGG